rnacentral:misc_RNA from 1 species
GAUGAAGAACGCAGCGAAAUGCGAUAAGUAAUGUGAAUUGCAGAAUUCAGUGAAUCAUCGAAUCUUUGAACGCACAUUGCGCCCGCCAGUAUUCUGGCGGGCAUGCCUGUUCGAGCGUCAUUACAACCCUCAGGCCCCCGGGCCUGGCGUUGGGGAUCGGCGGAGCCCCCCGUGGGCACACGCCGUCCCCCAAAUGCAGUGGCGGUCCCGCCGCAGCUUCCAUCGCGUAGUAGCUAACACCUCGCGACUGGAGAGCGGCGCGGCCACGCUGUAAAACACCCAACUCUUCUGAAGUUGACCUCGAAUCAGGUAGGAAUACCCGCUGAACUUAAGCAUAUCAAUAAGCGGAGGA